rnacentral:rRNA from 1 species
GAUGAACGCUGGCGGCGUGCCUAAUACAUGCAAGUCGAGCGAACAGACGAGGAGCUUGCUCCUCUGACGUUAGCGGCGGACGGGUGAGUAACACGUGGAUAACCUACCUAUAAGACUGGGAUAACUUCGGGAAACCGGAGCUAAUACCGGAUAAUAUAUUGAACCGCAUGGUUCAAUAGUGAAAGACGGUUUUGCUGUCACUUAUAGAUGGAUCCGCGCCGCAUUAGCUAGUUGGUAAGGUAACGGCUUACCAAGGCAACGAUGCGUAGCCGACCUGAGAGGGUGAGCGGCCACACUGGAACUGAGACACGGUCCAGACUCCUACGGGAGGCAGCAGAAGGGAAUCUUCCGCAAUGGGCGAAAGCCUGACGGAGCAACGCCGCGUGAGUGAUGAAGGUCUUCGGAUCGUAAAACUCUGUUAUUAGGGAAGAACAAAUGUGUAAGUAACUAUGCACGUCUUGACGGUACCUAAUCAGAAAGCCACGGCUAACUACGUG